rnacentral:rRNA from 1 species
AGGGUUUGAUCAUGGCUCAGGACGAACGCUGGCGGCGUGCUUAACACAUGCAAGUCGAGCGAUGAGAUCCCUUCGGGGAUGGAUUAGCGGCGAACGGGUGAGGAACACGUGAAGAAUCUGCCUUCAACUCUGGGAUAACACCGGGAAACCGGUGCUAAUACCGGAUAUGAGCCUUGAUCGCAUGAUCGGGGCUGGAAAGUUUUUCGGUUGAAGAUGACUUCGCGGCCUAUCAGCUUGUUGGUGAGGUAAUGGCUCACCAAGGCGACGACGGGUAGCCGGCCUGAGAGGGCGACCGGCCACACUGGGACUGAGACACGGCCCAGACUCCUACGGGAGGCAGCAGUGGGGAAUAUUGCGCAAUGGAGGAAACUCUGACGCAGCCACGCCGCGUGCAGGAAGAAGGUCCUAUGGAUUGUAAACUGCUUUUAUUCGGAAAGAACAAACGGGUUUCGACCUGUUCUGACGGUACCGAUUGAAUAAGCACCGGCUAACUCCGUGCCAGCAGCCGCGGUAAUACGGAGGGUGCGAGCGUUGUCCGGAAUCAUUGGGUGUAAAGGGUGCGUAGGCGGGUUCUUAAGUCUGGGGUGAAAGUCUGCGGCUCAACCGUAGGAUUGCCUUGGAUACUGGGAGUCUUGAGUAUGACAGAGGCCGGUAGAAUUCGUGGUGUAGCGGUGAAAUGCAUAGAUAUCACGAAGAAUACCAGUGGCGUAGGCGGCCGGCUGGGUCAACACUGACGCUGAGGCACGAGAGUGUGGGGAGCAAACAGGAUUAGAUACCCUGGUAGUCCACACCGUAAACGUUGUAUACUAGGUGUUGGUCUCGCUUCGGCGGGAUCAGUGCUGCAGCUCACGCAAUAAGUAUACCACCUGGGGAGUACGCCGGCAACGGUGAAACUCAAAGGAAUUGACGGGGGCCCGCACAAGCGGUGGAGCAUGUGGUUUAAUUCGACGCAACGCGCAGAACCUUACCAGCCCUUGACAUCCCGAUCGCGGAUUACAGAGAUGUUUUCCUUCAGUUCGGCUGGAUCGGUGACAGGUGCUGCAUGGCUGUCGUCAGCUCGUGUCGUGAGAUGUUGGGUUAAGUCCCGCAACGAGCGCAACCCUUGCCAUUAAUUGCCAUCAUUUAGUUGGGCACUUUAAUGGGACUGCCGGUGACAAACCGGAGGAAGGUGGGGAUGACGUCAAGUCCUCAUGGCCCUUAUGGCCAGGGCUUCACACGUAAUACAAUGGUCGGUACAGAGGGUUGCCAACCCGCGAGGGGGAGCCAAUCCCAGAAAGCCGAUCGUAGUCCGGAUUGUAGUCUGCAACUCGACUGCAUGAAGUCGGAAUCGCUAGUAAUCGCGGAUCAGCAUGUCGCGGUGAAUACGUUCCCGGGCCUUGUACACACCGCCCGUCACACCAUGGGAGUGGGUUUUACCAGAAGUAGUUAGUCUAACCGCAAGGAAGACGAUUACCACGGUAGGAUUCAUGACUGGGGUGAAGUCGUAACAAGGUAGCC